AUUGAACGCUGGCGGCAUGCCUUACACAUGCAAGUCGAACGGCAGCACGGGUGCUUGCACCUGGUGGCGAGUAGCGAACGGGUGAGUAAUACAUCGGAACAUGUCCUGUAGUGGGGGAUAGCCCGGCGAAAGCCGGAUUAAUACCGCAUACGAUCUACGGAUGAAAGCGGGGGACCUUCGGGCCUCGCGCUAUAGGGUUGGCCGAUAGCUGAUUAGCUAGUUGGUGGGGUAAAGGCCUACCAAGGCGACGAUCAGUAGCUGGUCUGAGAGGACGACCAGCCACACUGGGACUGAGACACGGCCCAGACUCCUACGGGAGGCAGCAGUGGGGAAUUUUGGACAAUGGGCGAAAGCCUGAUCCAGCAAUGCCGCGUGUGUGAAGAAGGCCUUCGGGUUGUAAAGCACUUUUGUCCGGAAAGAAAUCCUUGGCUCUAAUACAGUCGGGGGAUGACGGUACCGGAAGAAUAAGCACCGGCUAACUACGUG
rnacentral:rRNA from 1 species